CCCUUAGAUGUUCUGGGCCGCACGCGCGCUACAAUGGUCUUCGCAAACGGAUGCAUUCUCGAAGGAGAAUGCCAAUCUUGGAAUCUAUGCCUUGGUCGGGACAGUUGCUUGCAAUUUUUCGACUCGAACCAGGAAUUCCUUGUAAUCGUGAUUCAUCACAUCACGAUGAAUACGUCCCUGCCCUUUGUACACACCGCCCGUCGCUCCUACCGAUCGAAGAGUUAGGUGAAUUGUUUUGAUCGAUAAGAUUUGACUAUGGUCAACUCUCGUUGUGAAAUUCUGUGAAUCUGACUGUUUAGAGGAGGGAAAAGUCGUAACA
rnacentral:rRNA from 1 species